rnacentral:lncRNA from 1 species
GGGCCAGCUGCACACGGGUCAAGGAGGCCCGGGGUUUGAACCGUGGACCUCCCAUGUGGUAGAUGGACGCCCUAGCCAUUGAGCCAAAUCCGCUUCCCUGCUCGUUGUGUUUUGAUCAUUGUCUUCUCGUUGCAUCCACUCAUCUUCUUUAGGAGGCACCGGAACUGAACCCAGGGCCUCCCACAUGUGAGGCAGGCCCUCCAUCGCUUGAGCCACAUCCGCUCCCUGUUCAUUGCUUCUGCUGUCAGCUCGUUGCAUCUGCUCUUCUUCUUUAGAAGAUGCUGAGAACUGAACCCAGGUUCUCCCGUGUGGGAGGCAGGUGCCCAGCUGCUCGAGCCACAUCCGCUCCCCAACACGCCCAUUUACAGACGUGUGAACCGAGGCUCCAAAUGGUAACUUUGCUUUGGGGGCAACAAGUCUGGCGUACAGCUCUGUGGCCCGGUCAGUUCCGGGGGUGCUGGGGGGGGGGGUCCCAUGUCCGGGAAAUUGCUCAGGUCUUGCCCUUUCUCUCCAGUGGGUCCCCCUGGUGGAGGUGUCAGGAGACGCUUCUCGGGGACCCCACCGCUGCCGCCACCGUCCAGUGGGGUGAGCCCAGCCCCCGUGUCACGUUCGCCACCGAGGCCCGAGGGGGGCCACGGCCCAGCCCCAGGCAGGUGAGUCCCCGCCUGACGGUAGGAGCCCCGGGGGUCAACGAGAGGCUCCCGCGGGAGGUGGACGCAGCUCAACGGAUAGGGCGUCCGUCUACCACACGGGAGGUCCAGGGUUCAAACCCCGGGCCUCCUGACCCGUGUGGAGCUGGCCCACGCGCAGUGCUGAUGCGCGCAAGAAGUGCCCUGCCACGCAGGGGUGUCCCCCGCGAAGGGGAGCCCCACGCGCAAGGAGUGUGCCCUGUAAGGAGAGCCGCCCAGCACGAAAGAAAUUUCAGCCUGCCCAGGAAUGGUGCCGCCCACACGGAGAGCUGACGCAACAAGGAGACACCACAAAGAGAGACACAGAUUCCCGUGCAGCUGAUAAGGAUAGAAGCCGUCACAGAAGAACACACAGCGAAUGGACACAGAGAGCAGACAACGGAGAAGGGCAGAG